CAGUCGCCGCGGUAAUACCAGCACCUCGAGUGGUCAGGAGGUUUAUUGGGCCUAAAGCAUCCGUAGCCGGUUGCAUAAGUUUUCGGUUAAAUCUAUGCGCUUAACGUAUAGGCCGCCGAAAAUACUGUGCAGCUAGGGAGUGGGAGAGGUACACGGUACUCGAUAGGAAGGGGUAAAAUCCUUUGAUCUAUUGACGACCACCUGUGGCGAAGGCGGUGUACCAGAACACGUUCGACGGUGAGGGAUGAAAGCUGGGGGAGCAAACCGGAUUAGAUACCCGUGUAGUCCCUGUCUCUUAUAC
rnacentral:rRNA from 1 species